GAGUUUGAUCUUGGCUCAGGAUGAACGCUGGCGGCGUGCUUAACACAUGCAAGUCGAACGAAGCACUUUAUUACGAUUUCUUCGGAAUGACGAUUUAGUGACUGAGUGGCGGACGGGUGAGUAACGCGUGGGUAACCUGCCUUAUACAGGGGGAUAACAGUUAGAAAUGACUGCUAAUACCGCAUAAGCGCACAGGAUUGCAUGAUCUGGUGUGAAAACUCCGGUGGUAUAAGAUGGACCCGCGUCUGAUUAGCUGGUUGGUGAGGUAACGGCCCACCAAGGCGACGAUCAGUAGCCGACCUGAGAGGGUGACCGGCCACAUUGGGACUGAGACACGGCCCAAACUCCUACGGGAGGCAGCAGUGGGGAAUAUUGCACAAUGGGGGAAACCCUGAUGCAGCGACGCCGCGUGAGCGAAGAAGUAUUUCGGUAU
rnacentral:rRNA from 1 species